rnacentral:rRNA from 1 species
AUUGAACGCUGGCGGCAGGCUUAACACAUGCAAGUCGAACGAGUGGCGGACGGGUGAGUAAUGGCUGGGAAUCUAUCUUAUGGAGGGGGAUAACUACGGGAAACUGUAGCUAAUACCGCGUACCAUAAGAUGAGCCCAAGGGGGAUUAGGUAGUUGGUGAGGUAAAGGCUCACCAAGCCGACGAUCUCUAGCUGGUCUGAGAGGAUGACCAGCCAUACUGGAACUGAGACACGGCCCCGACUCCUACGGGAGGCAGCAGUGGGGAAUAUUGCGCAAUGGGGGCAACCUGAUGCAGCCAUGCCGCGUGAAUGAAUAAGGCCUUCGGGUUGUAAAUUUCUUUCGGUGGCGCGGCGUUAACUACAGAAGAAGCACCUGCUAACUCCGUGCCAGCAGCCGCGGUAAUAC